rnacentral:rRNA from 1 species
AGUGAACGCUGGCGGUAGGCCUAACACAUGCAAGUCGAACGGCAGCACAGUAAGAUCUUGCUCUUACGGGUGGCGAGUGGCGGACGUGUGAGGAAUACAUCGGAAUCUACUUUUUCGUGGGGGAUAACGUAGGGAAACUUACGCUAAUACCGCAUACGACCUACGGGUGAAAGCAGGGGAUCUUCGGACCUUGCGCGAUUGAAUGAGCCGAUGUCGGAUUAGCUAGUUGGCGGGGUAAAGGCCCACCAAGGCGACGAUCCGUAGCUGGUCUGAGAGGAUGAUAAGCCACACUGGAACUGAGACACGGUCCAGACUCCUACGGGAGGCAGCAGUGGGGAAUAUUAGACAAUGGGCGCAAGCCUGAUCCAGCCAUACCGCGUGGGUGGAGAAGGCCUUCGGGUUGUAAAGCCCUUUUGUUGGGAAAGAAAAGCAGCAGGUUAAUACCCAGCUGUUCUGACGGUACCCAAAGAAUAAGCACCGGCUAACUUCGUG